AUUGAACGCUGGCGGCAUGCCUUACACAUGCAAGUCGAACGGCAGCACGGGAGCAAUCCUGGUGGCGAGUGGCGAACGGGUGAGUAAUAUAUCGGAACGUGCCCAGUCGUGGGGAUAACGUAGCGAAAGCUACGCUAAUACCGCAUACGAUCUAUGGAUGAAAGCGGGGGAUCGCAAGACCUCGCGCGAUUGGAGCGGCCGAUAUCAGAUUAGGUAGUUGGUGAGGUAAAGGCUCACCAAGCCGACGAUCUGUAGCUGGUCUGAGAGGACGACCAGCCACACUGGGACUGAGACACGGCCCAGACUCCUACGGGAGCAGCAGUGGGGAAUUUUUGGACAAUGGGCGCAAGCCUGAUCCAGCAAUGCCACGUGCAGGAUGAAGGCCUCGGUUGUAACGUAGUC
rnacentral:rRNA from 1 species